AAGGCACUAAUAAAAUUGAUAUUAUACUGCCUUGUCAAGGCAGAAUUGUAGGUUAAACCCCUGCGUGCCUUG
rnacentral:tRNA from 1 species